rnacentral:rRNA from 1 species
CGCCAAACAGCUAGCCCCCUCAACCAAAAAUAACAAACCACCAUCAAUACCCCCAAAUGCACCACACAGUAAUAAACAAACCAUUUUUCCCCCUUAGUAUGGGCGACAGAAAAGGGCCUGAGGAGCAAUAGAGAAAGUACCGCAAGGGAACGCUGAAAGAGAAAUGAAAUAACCCAGUAAAGCCUAGAAAAGCAGAGAUUUUAGCUCGUACCUUUUGCAUCAUGAUUUAGCCAGUAAAAUUCAAGCAAAGAGUACUUUAGUUUGACUUCCCGAAACUAAGUGAGCUACUCCAAGACAGCCUAAUAUAGGGCGACCCCGUCUCUGUUGCAAAAGAGUGGGAAGAGCUUUGAGUAGAGGUGACAGACCUACCGAACCUAGUUAUAGCUGGUUGCCUGAGAAUUGGAUAGAAGUUCAGCCUCCCGGCUUCUUUCUUCACCCCCCCCCCCACGUCUUUACCCCUUACUGACACCUAAAGAAACCGCGAGAGUUAUUCAAAGGGGGUACAGCCCCUUUGAAACAAGACACAACUUUACCAGGAGGGUAAAGAUCAUAUUAAAAUUAAGGUAAAAUGUUCUGGUGGGCCUAAAAGCAGCCACCCCUACAGAAAGCGUUAAAGCUCAGACAUACCACCUACCCCUUCAUCCCGAUAAUUUAAUCUUAGCCCCCUAAUUCUACCAGGCCGUCCCAUGCAAACAUGGGAGCGACCAUGCUAAUAUGAGUAAUAAGAGAACACCCGCUUCUCUCCCCGCACACGUGUAAAUCGGAACGGACCCCCCACCGAAUCUUAACGGCCCCAAACAAAGAGGGUACUGAACAACAGACCAGAUAACCAGAAAAUCAUCCAACAACUGACCGUUAACCCCACACUGGUGUGCCCCUGAGGAAAGACUAAAAGAAAAAGAAGGAACUCGGCAAACACUUAAAGCCUCGCCUGUUUACCAAAAACAUCGCCUCUUGCAAAACUAAAGAAUAAGAGGUCCCGCCUGCCCUGUGACUAUAAGUUUAACGGCCGCGGUAUUUUGACCGUGCGAAGGUAGCGCAAUCACUUGUCUUUUAAAUGAAGACCUGUAUGAAUGGCACCACGAGGGCUUAGCUGUCUCCUUUUUCAAGUCAAUGAAAUUGAUCUCCCCGUGCAGAAGCGGGGAUAUAUACAUAAGACGAGAAGACCCUAUGGAGCUUUAGACGCCAAGACAGAUCAUGUUAAACACCCCUAGAUAAAGGGUUAAACCAAAUGAGCCCUGUCCUAAUGUCUUUGGUUGGGGCGACCGCGGGGAAACAUAAAACCCCCACGUGGAAUGGGAGUACCACCUCCUACAACUAAGAGCUCCCGCUCUAGCUAACAGAAAUUCUGACCAAUAAGAUCCGGCAACGCCGACCAACGGACCGAGUUACCCUAGGGAUAACAGCGCAAUCCCCUUUUAGAGCCCAUAUCGACAAGGGGGUUUACGACCUCGAUGUUGGAUCAGGACAUCCUAAUGGUGCAGCCGCUAUUAAGGGUUCGUUUGUUCAACGAUUAAAGUCCUACGUGAUCUGAGUUCAGACCGGAGAAAUCCAGGUCAGUUUCUAUCUAUGAUAUGAUCUUUUCUAGUACGAAAGGACCGAAAAGAAGAGGCCUAUACUUAAGGUACGCCUCACCCCCACCUAAUGAAAACAACUAAAAUAGGCAAAAGGGCAUACCCCUGUGCCUGAGAAAAUGGCAU